ACACUGAAAUGUGUUGUAUAACAGAGCGUGGCAUUGCAUUUAUAUUUAUAUUAAAACAUAUACGGGUUUAUUAUGUAUAGGCUGAGGUGUUUCUCUAAAAGGCAUUGUGAAUAUAAUCUCCAUGUCAAUCUGUCCAUCUGAUCCGCUUGGUUUUUAUUUCCUCUUUGUUUUCUUCGACUGAUUGAUUUUAAUUUCGGAAACGGAAGGUUGCUGUUUUUAGCUGCGUCUGUAAAACCGAAAGGUCGCAUGAGGAUACGGUGACGCGAGCACAUGGACAAGGAAAACAUUAACCACCGGAGUGUAAAUGAGAUCAAGAUGGAUUUUGAUAUCUGCUUUCUGUUUGCAGCCGGCAAACCGCAAGAUUUCCGAGCCACUGAGAGCGAAGUCCAGGACACGAGGAGCAACGCUAAAUGAGAUUUCCUGUAGCGAAGCGCUGGUUGUGGCUAAAGGCAUUAAAGAAGAUCAAAUCUUAUAAACCUCGGCUAGUAGGAUUUGAUGUGCAUUACUGACAAAUACACACAGGCCCGGAUUGGCCAAAGGGAGGGCCGGGAGAAUUCCUGGUGGGCCGGUCUGUUUUUUGGCCACGAGGGCUGGUGUUUUCAUGCCACCUGGUUGAAGGUUGCUGUCCAUAGCUGCCAGCACUCACGUGUAAAUUGGGGAUAGGAGGGAUGGGAGAUAUCCCCACCGCUUUAUGCCGAAGUUGAUGUCCCGAGUCCUGUCCACUUAUUGGAAUAAUUGUUGCAUUAGGGUCCAUUAACGCAUCUAAAACACACGAAAAAUGCAGGACGCGCUGUUUUCUUCUGCUUUUCAAAGUGUUCGCCUGUGAACUCGAGUAUUGUUUCAGACGCGUUUAUAUUUGGGUGCGCUUGCAUCGCGUCGAUUUAACUCUUUCCCCGCCAGGGUUUUUAAAAAAAAUUGCCAGCCAGCGCCAGCAUUUUUCAUGAUUUUCACAAAAGUUUAAUGCCUUCCAGAAAAUGUUCUUCUUUAAAUAUAUAAACAAACAAUAUAUUGUCACGGUUAAAUCCGUGUCAUGUUUUGUUUCUGUUCUGAUCGUUGUCACCUGGACAUUCAUUGAUUAAUCACCUGAUUCAUUCCACCUGUUUGUCAUUAGUCUGUGUAUUUAUACCUGUGUUUGUGCAAUACUGACUGCCGGUUCAUUGUC